CAAUUCCGCCCAGGGUUAGCCGGUCCCUAAGGCGAGGGCGAAAGCCGUAGUCGAUGGGAAGCGCGUUAAUAUUCGUGCACCGCUGUUAGUGUUGAAAGAGGAGUGACGGCGUGAUGAAGUUCAUCCAGCUGUUAGAUGCUGGUUCCUGGUCUGGGGUGGCGAAUAGGAAAAUCCGUUCGCGUAAUCUCCGGAUUGGGUGGCAACUGAGUGGAAGCACGUCCAAGAAAACCUUCGCUGGAGCGAAACAGUGACCGUACCAAAUCUGACACAGGAGGGCGAGGCGAAUAGCCUCAGGCGCUCGAGAGAACCAUACGUGGAGGAACU
rnacentral:rRNA from 1 species